rnacentral:misc_RNA from 1 species
UGUACUAUAUAUUUGGAACCUGUCUUGAGAGGACGUGCUCAUAUCUUUAUGAAAAAAUUACUUCAAAUACAACAUUUGCCGCCACAGUAUCUGUAAAACUACAUAUUAUACAAGGUUAUUGAAGGGUGAUGGGGAUGGAUAUUACCUAUGUGCUGGUGGCAUUAUACAGCUUGAAAGAAUUGAAUGAGAAUCUGAAUUACUUUAAGAAUAUUAAAUGGGGUUAAGAAUUUGUAAAUACAUCAACUAAGAGUGAAUGGAUGGUUGACUGUUUCUAUUGUCAGUCACAACUUCUAUAACAUCUCGAGAUGGAACUCUUAGACAUGAUUUCAUGAGGUCAUAAACUGUAAAACCAAUUGCAACAGAUGGCACAACCUUCAAGUAGUUGAUGCUCAGCCCUGAAAAUAACUGCUUCCACCCUUGUGUUUGGACGAUCAUAACCAGGGUUUCCAUUGUUCCUUUCAAUUCUGCCGAAUUUGACGUAGCAAGCCUUUGUACCUAUUAACAUGAUUUCAUGAUUUUUCCCAGUUUCAAUUAUGAUUCCAAAUUCAGUGGACUUUGCACCUAGAAGCAAAUUACCUGCAUUUGCCUUCUUACAACAUCAAGAGGGUAUGUGAAGGUCUGUCCCAUCAAACCAGCAACAGAUCCACAUACCAGUUUCACCAAAAUAUCUUUCUUGUGUUCCUCAGGAACAUGGCGCUUCAUUUCCUCAUAGAAGUAAAAUUUCAAACCAGCAUAAGGGAAGAUUCCAUAAAGGGAUGGAGCUGACAAUGGUUUUCAAUUAUUAAUUGUAAAAUCCUUAAAGGAAUCUACAGCAGCCAUUGAGACAUGCAACAGAAAAACUAAAUACAAGGUCUAUUGUAACACAUACCCACACCAUGAUAGAGACCUCUUCGCCCAGAUUCUUUCAAAGUCUUCAAGAAACAAUCAUAGAUUCCUUUAUAUUCUUGUUUAGUACUAGCUAUCCCUUGAACAUUCACUUUUGAUGAAUUGACAACCUGCAUUAUCAAAUACAAUUCAUUCUAGGUGAACAUAAUUAGUGUAUAUGGAGAGUGGGGAAGGGAGAGAAAGGCAUCCUCUUAGCUACAUGGAGCUUACUGGGACAAGCCAAACCCUGGGGAUGGUGAUGCUGUCACUGAGUAAAUGUUAUUUGCGUGUGCUCUUUUUUCCUUUUUUUUUUUGGGGCACCCAAUUUAAAAUAUUUACCUGAUAAGCUAAUUUAGUUCUAACUAAAUCAAGAGGAUAAGUGAAAAGCACAGCUGUUCCUCCAGCAAAUGAUCCUGCCACAAGAUCAAGUACAGGACCCCUCCCAGCAUUAGGAAAAGUAUGGAUGAUCCAUCUACGAUAUUGCUCAUAGGUCAUAUAAUGCAAGGCUGCAUAGGGAACGAUUCGAGCAACACUAGCACCAUUCCCUCUGUAGAAACCCAUAAUGCCUUCUGUCUUUGCAAUCUUUUUAAUGGAUCCAAGCAGUCCUAUAGUCUUGAAUUCAUCUCUUCUGGUCUGAAACAAAAUCUUCACACGUUCAAGGGGAGCAACAACAGUCUUUGCAAGGCCACCAGCGACACCCCCAGCAACCAACUCCUUUGCAAACACAGGCAUGGCCUCUAUUACCCCAUCCAAAAACAAACCCGUCUCUCUUUCCUCUCUCUUCUUUGCCAUGAUUCCACAGAAAGAAAAGAAAGAGAGAAACUUGAAAUUUAUUAAUAGCAAGCAAUGAUUGACUGGUCUGAAGGAAAACUUGGAAAGGAGUCUGGGCACACAAAGAAGCAGAGAAACGUUUUUGUUUAGAUGGCCAUUUUAUAUGUUUUGGACAGCCGACAAGUCAGAGAAGCCCACGCACACAUUAGAUUCCUAUGUCUCAUGAGAGAAGAGAGUGGAGAAUAUUAU